rnacentral:misc_RNA from 1 species
GAUGAAGAACGUAGCGAAAUGCGAUAAGUAAUGUGAAUUGCAGAAUUCAGUGAAUCAUCGAAUCUUUGAACGCACAUUGCGCCCCUUGGUAUUCCGAGGGGCAUGCCUGUUCGAGCGUCAUUAUCACCCCUCAAGCUUUGCUUGGUGUUGGGGCCUGCUGUAAUAGGCAGCCCUUAAAAUCAGUGGCGGUGCUUCAAGGCUCUAAGCGUAGUAAUUCUCCUCGCUAUAGUGUCUAGUGGUUGCCAGCCAGAACCACCCAUUUUUUAUGAUUGACCUCGGAUCAGGUAGGGAUACCCGCUGAACUUAAGCAUAUCAAUAAGCGGAGGA